UCCCGUGUGGCUCAGUUGGUAGAGCAUGGUGUUUGCAACGCCAGGGUUGUAGGUUCGAUUCCCACAGGGGAC
rfam:Salmo salar isolate Sally breed double haploid chromosome ssa23, whole genome shotgun sequence.